GUUUGCACUAAAAUUUACAUUAGGGUGCAAAAUUAAAUACUGAAUACAUUCAAAUGCAAAGAGUUUGUUACUAUUUAACUUGCGGUGCUAACUGCAUGCCUUAAAUAUUUGCCAUGCAACAUACCGUAUCGUUGACAUUCUUUUCUCUGUUUUUAUAUGCUUCUGAAGCUGGAUUUGACAGAUCAGAGACAAAAAUUUCACUGCUGGAAAAACUAACAAAAACUGUCUGGGUUGUGCCUGGGGUUGUUGUUGAUUGAGCUCUGGUUGUAGUUGUUGGUUCAGCCGUAGAUGUAAGUUGUGUUGUUGUUGUUGUUGUUUCUGUGGAAGGGACUGAGUUUACUGUAACAGUCAUAGAUUCUGUUGUUGCAGAUGCAGGUGAGUUUGUUGAGUCAGGUUUUUGUGUAGGUUUGGCAGUGGUUGUAGACAGAGUUUCAGUUGUUGCUGAGCAGUAUUGUAUCAGCUGUUGUGUCACUUUUAAGCAGAAUUGUGUCGUUUGUGUAGCUGAGCUUGAUGUAACAGUCAUGUUUGUUGUAACCAGGGUUGUAGAUUGAGCUGUACUUGUUGUAGGUAGGUAUGUUGUUGCUGUCUGUGUUGUGGUGCUGUGUUGGGAUGUAAUUGAUUGUUUUGUUGUAGAUGUUAAAACAGUUGUGGUUGUUGGUUCAGCCGUAGAUGUUAAAACAGUUAUGGUUGUUGGUUCAGCUGUAGAUGUAAGUUGUGUUGUUGUUGUUUCUGUAGGAGGGGCUGUAAUUGUAACCCGAGAUGUAGGUGUAGCUGAGUUUGUUGAAAUCAGGGUUGUAGAUUGAGCUGUACUUGUUGUAUGUAGGGAUGUUGUUGCUGUCUGUGUUGUGGUGCUUUGUUCGGGUAUAGUUGAUUUUUCAGUUGUAGAUGUUGACGCAGUUGUGGUUGUUGGUUCAGCUGUAGAUGUAAGUUGUGUGGUUGUUGUUUCUGUAGGAGGGGCUGUAGUUGUAAACAGAGUUGCAGUUGUAGGUGAGUUUGUUGUAACCUCAGUUGUGGAUUGAGCUGUACUUGUUGUAGGUAGGGAUGUUGUUGUUGACUGCAUUGUGGUGCUUUGUUCAGAUGUAGUUGAUUGUUCUGUUGUAGAUGUUAAAACAGUUGUCGUUGUUGGUUCAGCCAUAGAUGUAAGUUGUGUUGUUGUUUCUGUAGGAGGGGCUGUGGUUGUAAACUGAGAUGUACUUGUAAGUGAGUUUGCUGUAACCACGGUUGUAGAUUGAGGUGUAUUUUUUGUAGGUAAGGAUGUUGUUGUUGUCUGCAUUGUGGUGCUUUGUUCAGGUGUUGUUGAUUGUUCAGUUGUAGAUGUUAAAACAGUUGUAGUUGUUGGUUCAGUUGUAGAUCUUAAAACAGUUGUUGUUGUUGGUUUACCCGUAGAUGUAAGUUGUGUUGUUUCUGUAGGAGGGGCUCUAGUUGUAAGCAGAGUUGCAGUUGUAGGUGAGUUUGUUGAAACCUCAGUUGUAGAUUGAGCUGUACUUGUUGUAGGUAUGGAUGUUGUUGCUGUCUGCAUUGUGGUGCUGUGUUCAGAUGUUGUUGAUUGUUCAGUUGUAGAUGUUGCAGCAAUUGUGGUUGUUGGUUCAGCAAUAGAUGUAAGUUUUGUUGUUGUUGUUUCUUUAGGAGGGCCUGUAGUUGUAACUUGAAAUGUAGUUCUUGGUGAGUUUGUUGAAACCUCAGUUGUAGAUUGAGCUAUACUUGUUGUAGGUUGGGAUUUUGUUCCUAUCUGUGUUGUGGUGCUUUGUUCUGAUGUAGUUGAUUGUUCUGUUGUAGAUAUUAAAACAGUUGUGGUUAUUGGUUCAGUUGUAGAUGUUAAAAAAGUUGUGGUUGUUGGUUCAGCCGUAGAUGUAAGUUGUGUUUCUGUUGUUUCUGUUGAAGGGGCUGUAGUUGUAACCUGAGAUGUAGGUAUAGCUGAGUUUGUUGUAACCAGGGUUGUAGAUUGAGCUGUAUUUGUUGUAGGUAGAGUAGUUGUUGCUGUCUGCAUUGUGGUGCUUUGUUCAGAUGUAGUUGAUUGUUCAGUUGUAGACGUUGACGGAGUUGUGGUUGUUGGUUGAGUUGUAGAUGUUAAAACAGUUGUGGUUGUUGGUUCAACCGCAGAUGUAAAUUGUGUUGUUGUUGUUUCUAUAGGAGGGGCUGUAGUUGUAAGCAGAGAUGCAGUUGUAGGUGAGUUUGUUGUUACCUCAGUUGUAGAUUGAGCUGUACUUGUAGGUAGGGAUGUUUUUACUGUCUGCAUUGUGGUGCUUUUUUCAGAUGUAGUUGAUUGUUCAGUUGUAGAUGAUGAAGCAGUUGUGGUUAUUAGUUCAUUUGUAGAUGAUGAAGCAGUUGUGGUUGUUGGUUCAGCUGUAGAUGUAAGUUGUGUUGUUUCUGUAGGAGGGGCUAUAGUUGUAACCCGAGGUGUAGUUGUAGGUGAGUUUGUUGUAACCAGGGUUGUAGAUUGAGCUGUACUUGUUGUAGGUAGGGAUGAUGUUGUUGUCUGCAUUGGGGUGCUUUGUUCAGAUGUAGUUGACUGUUCAGUUUUAGAUGUUGAAGCAGUUGUGGUUUUUGGUUCAGCAGUAGAUGUAAGUUGCAUUGUCUCUGCUGGAGGGCCUGGAGUUGUAAGAAGAGUUGCAGUUGUAGGUGAGUUUGUUGUAACCUCAGUUGUCGAUUGUGCUGAACUUGUGGUAGGUGGUGGUGAUGUUGUUGCUGUCUCUGUUGUUGUGCUUUGUUCAGAUGUAGUUGACUGUUCAGUUUUAGAUGUUGAAGCAGUUGUGGUUGUUGGUUCAGAAGUAGAUGUAAGUUGCGUUGUCUCUGUUGGAGGGCCUGGAGUUGAAAGAAGAGUUGCAGUUGUAGGUGAGUUUGUUGUAAUCUCAGUUGUAGAUUGAGCUGUACUUGUUGUAGAUAGGGAUGUUGUUGCCGCCUGCGUUGUGGUGCUGUGUUCAGAUGUAGUUGAUUGUUCAGUUGUAGAUGUUGAAGCAGUUGUGGUUGUUAGUACAGUUGUAUAUGAUGAAUCAGUUGUGGUUGUUGGUUCAUUUGUAGAUGAUAAAACAGUUGUGGUUGUUGGUUCAGCAGAAGAUGUAAGUUGUGUUGUUGUUUCUGUAGGAGGGGCUGAAGUUGUAACCUGCGAUGUAGUUGUAGGCGAGUUUUUUGUAACCAGGGUUGUAGAUUGAGCUGUACUUGUUGUAGGUAGGGAUGAUGUUGUUGUCUGCAUUGGGGUGCUUUGUUCAGAUGUAGCUGAUUGUUCAGUUGUAGAUGUUGAAGCAGUUGUGGUUGUUAGUUCAGUUGUAGAUGUAAGUUGUGUUGUUGUUGUUUCUGUAGGAGGGCCUGGAGUUGUAAGCAGAGUUGCAGUUGUAGGUGAGUUUGUUGUAACCUCAGUUGUAGAUUCAGCUGUACUUGUUGUAAGUAGGGAUAUUGUUGCCAUCUGUGUUGUGGUGCUUUGUUCUGAUGUAGUUGAUUGUUCUGUUGUAGAUGUUAAAACAGUUGUGAUUAUUGGUUCAGCCGUAGAUGUAAGUUGUGUUGUUGUUGUUUCUGUAGGAGGGCCUGGAGUUGUAAGCAAAGUUGCAGUUGUAGGUGAGUUUGUUGUAACCUCAGUUGUAGAUGGGGCUGUACUUGUUGUAGAUAGGGAUGUUGUUGCCGUCUGCGUUGUGGUGCUGUGUUCAGAUGUAGUUGAUUGUUCUGUCGUAGAUGUUAAAACAGUUGUGGUUGUUGGUUCAGGUGUAGAUGAUGAAGCAGUUGUGGUUGUUAGUUCAGUUGUAGAUGUAAGUUGUGUUGUUGUUGUUUCUGUAGGAGGGCCUGGAGUUGUAAGCAGAGUUGCAGUUGUAGGUGAGUUUGUUGUAACCUCACUUGUAGAUUGAGCUGUACUUGUUGUAAGUAGGGAUAUUGUUGCCAUCUGUGUUGUGGUGCUUUGUUCUGAUGUAGUUGAUUGUUCUGUUGUAGAUGUUAAAACAGUUGUGAUUAUUGGUUCAGCCGUAGAUGUAAGUUGUGUUGUUGUUGUUUCUGUAGGAGGGCCUGGAGUUGUAAGCAGAGUUGCAGUUGUAGGUGAGUUUGUUGUAACCUCAGUUGUAGAUUGAGCUGUACUUGUUGUAGAUAGGGAUGUUGUUGCUGUCUGCGUUGUGGUGCUGUGUUCAGAUGUAGUUGAUUGUUCUGUUGUAGAUGAUGAAUCAGUUGUGGUUGUUGGUUCAGCUGUAGAUGAUGAAUCAGUUGUGGUUGUUGGUUCAGCUGUAGAUGUAAGUUUUGUUGUUGUUUCUGUAGGAGGGGCUGUAAUUGUAACCUGUGAUGUAGUUAUAGGUGAGUUUGUUGUAACCAGGGUUGUAGAUUGAGCUGUACUUGUUGUAGGUAAGGAUGAUGUUGUUGUCUGCAUUGGGGUGCUUUGUUCAGAUGUAGUUGAUUGUUCAGUUGUAGAUGUUGAAGCAGUUGUGGUUGUUAGUUCAGUUGUAGAUGUAAGUUGUGUUGUUGUUGUUUCUGUUGGAGGGCCUGGAGUUGUAAGCAGAGUUGCAGUUGUAGGUGAGUUUGUUGUAACCUCAGUUGUAGAUUGAGCUGUACUUGUUGUAGGUAGGGAUGUUGUUGCCGUCUGUGUUGUGGUGCUUUGUCCUGAUUUAGUUGAUUGUUCUGUUGUAGAUGUUAAAAUAGUUGUGGUUGUUGGUUCAGCUGUAGAUGAUGAAUCAGUUGUGGUUGUUGGUUCAGCUGUAGAUGAUGAAUCAGUUGUGGUUUUUGGUUCAGCUGUAGAUGUAAGUUUUGUUGUUGUUUCUGUAGGAGGGGCUGUAAUUGUAACCUGUGAUGUAGUUAUAGGUGAGUUUGUUGUAACCAGGGUUGUAGAUUGAGCUGUACUUGUUGUAGGUAGGGAUGAUGUUGUUGUCUGCAUUGGGGUGCUUUGUUCAGAUGUAGUUGAUUGUUCAGUUGUAGGUGUUGAAGCAGUUAUGGUUGUUAGUUCAGUUGUAGACGAUGAAGCAGUUGUGGUUGUUGGUUCAGCAGUAGAUGUAAGUCUUGUUGUUUCUGUAGGAGGGGUUUUAGUUGUAAGAAGAGUUGUAGUUGUAGGUGAGUUUGUUGUAACCUCAGUUGUAGAUUGAGCUGUACUUGUUGUAGGUAGGGAUGUUGUUGCCAUCUGCAUUGUGGUGGUGUGUUCAGAUGUAGUUGAUUGUUCUAUCGUAGAUGUUAAAACAGUUGUGGUUGUUGGUUCAGCUGUAGAUGAUGAAGCAGUUGUGGUUGUUGGUUCAACCGUAGAUGUAAGUUGUGUUGUUGUUGUUUCUGUAGGAGGGGCUGUAGUUGUAAGCAGAGUUGCAGUUGUAGGUGAGAUUGUUGUAACCUCAGUUGUAGAUUGAGCUGUACUUGUUGUAGGUAGGGAUUUUGUUCCUGUCUGUGUUGUGGUGCUUUGUUCUGAUGUAGUUGAUUGUUCUGUUGUAGAUGUUAAAACAGUUGUGGUUGUUGGUUCAGCUGUAGAUGAUGAAGCAAUUGUGGUUGUUGGUUCAGCUGUAGAUGAUGAAGCAGUUGUGGUUGUUGGUUCAACCGUAGAUGUAAGUUGUGUUGUUGUUGUUUCUGUAGGAGGGGCUGUAGUUGUAAGCAGAGUUGCAGUUGUAGGUGAGAUUGUUGUAACCUCAGUUGUAGAUUGAGCUGUACUUGUUGUAGGUAGGGAUUUUGUUCCUGUCUGUGUUGUGGUGCUUUGUUCUGAUGUAGUUGAUAGUUCAGUUGUAGAUGUUGAAACAGUUAUGGUUGUUGGUUCAGCUGUAGAUGUAAGUUUUGUUGUUGUUUCUGUAGGAGGGGCUGAAAUUGUAAUCCGAGAUGUAGUUGUAGGUGAGUUUGUUGUAACCAGGGUUGUAGAUUGAGCUGUACUUGUUGUAGGUAGGGAUGAUGUUGUUGUCUGCUUUGGGGUGCUUUGUUCAGAUGUAGUUGAUUGUUCAGUUGUAGGUGUUGAAGCAGUUGUGGUUUUUGGUUCAGUUGUAGAUGUUGCAGCAGUUGUGGUUUUUGGUUCAGCCGUAGAUGUAAGUUGUGUUGUUGUUGUUUCUGUAGGAGGAGCUGUAGUUGUAAGCAGAGUUGUAGUUGUGGGUGAGUUUGUUGUAACCUCAGUUGUAGAUUGAGCUGUACUUGUUGUAGGUAGGGAUGAAUUUGCUGACUGCAUUGUGGUGCUUUGUUCAGAUGUAGUUGAUUGCUCAGUUGUGAGUUGUGUUGUUUUUUCUGUAGGAAGGCUUGUAGUUGUAAGCCGAGUUUUAGUUGUAGCUGUGUUUGUUCUAACAGUCGUAGAUUCAGUUGUUGCAGUUAUAGGUGAGUUUGUUGAUUCAGGUGUUUGUGUUGGUUUGGCAGUGGUUGUAAACAGAGUUUCAGUUGUUGUUGAACAGUAUUGUAUAUGCUGUUGUGUCAGUUGUAAGCAGAAUUGUGUCGUUUGUGCAGGUGAGUAUGAUGUGACAGUCAUAGAUUCAGUUGUAGGUGAGUUUGCUGACUCAGCUGAUGCGCUACAAAACACUGUUGUUAAAAUCAAAAGUACAAAGCAAUUUUAGAGCAAUUUUCAUAUUUAAAUAAGUAACAAGAGAAAUAAGGAAUCUGGAUGUUCAGUAACUUACAGACCUAAACUUAACAAUGCAAUUGUCAGUGUUUUUCUACUCAUCUUGGUAGCUGUCAAAUAGACCACCUGUAAACAUAUAAUACAUAACAUUAACAAACAUGUAAUGAAUGGCAUCAGUUUUGGCAUGUCAGUGAAGUGAGAAAAAAUUAAUAGUACACCCUCUUUCCAGAUAUUUAAUAUGUUUUUUUUUGUCUUGUUUUGUUUUAUUUUCCUGUGAAUGAAAGACGAUUUGUCAUUUUUGCACAGUCCACAUUAAUGAAGAUGAAAGUAGUUAUGAUCAAUAAAAACACAUGGGAAGAAUUACACUACCAUUCAAACGUUUAAG
ensembl:lncRNA